rnacentral:rRNA from 1 species
UACGGGGGGGGUAAGCGUUGUUCGGAAUUACUGGGCGUAAAGGGCUCGUAGGCGGCCAACUAAGUCAUACGUGAAAUCCCUCAGCUUAACUGGGGAACUGCGUGUGAUACUGGAUGGCUUGGAUUUGGGAGAGGGAUGCGGAAUUCCAGGUGUAGCGGUGAAAUGCGUAGAUAUCGGAAGGAACAUCAGUGGCGAAGGCGACUUCCUGGACCAAUACUGACGCUCAGGUGCGAAAGCGUGGGGAGCAAACAGG